rnacentral:rRNA from 1 species
ACAGCAGUCGCCGCGGUAAUACGAAGGGGGCUAGCGUUGUUCGGAUUUACUGGGCGUAAAGGGCGCGUAGGCGGUUAGAUAAGUCUGAAGUUAAAGGCUGUGGCUUAACCAUAGUACGCUUUGGAAACUGUUUAACUUGAGUGCAAGAGGGGAGAGUGGAAUUCCAUGUGUAGCGGUGAAAUGCGUAGAUAUAUGGAGGAACACCGGUGGCGAAAGCGGCUCUCUGGCCUGUAACUGACGCUGAGGCUCGAAAGCGUGGGGAGCAAACAGGAUUAGAUACCCCAGUAGUCCCUGUCUCUUAUACA